GACAUAGGUGCCAAGCGUUAGGCGGAAUCACUGGGCUUAAAGCGUGUGUAGGCGGAAUGGUAAGUACCUUGUGAAAUCCCACGGCUCAACCGUGGAACUGCUUGGUAUACUGCUUUUCUUGAGCCACUUAGGGGCAACCGGAACAAACGGUGGAGCGGUGAAAUGCGUAGAUAUCGUUUGGAACGCCAAUGGUGAAAACAGGUUGCUGGGAGUGUGCUGACGCUGAGACACGAAAGCCAGGGGAGCAAACGGG
rnacentral:rRNA from 1 species